UACAGAGGAGCCAAGCGUUGUCCGGAUUGACUGGGCGUAAAGCGCACGCAGGCGGACGCGCGCGUGGGGUGUGAAAUCUGGCCGCUUAACGGCCAGGCGCCAUCCCAUACGGCGGGUCUGGAGCCUUGCAGAGGUCGGCGGAAUUGCCGGUGUAGUGGUGAAAUGCGUAGAUAUCAAGAGGAACACCUGCGGCGAAGGCGGGUUGCUGGGCCGACACUGACGCUGAGGCGCGAAAGCCAGGGGAGCGAACGGG
rnacentral:rRNA from 1 species